rnacentral:rRNA from 1 species
AUACGGAGGAUCCGAGCGUUAUCCGGAUUUAUUGGGUUUAAAGGGUGCGCAGGCGGCCAUUUAAGUCAGCGGUUAAAUCGUGGGGCUCAACCCCAUUCUGCCGUUGAUACUGGGUGGCUUGAUUGCGGUCGAGGUUGGCGGAAUUCGUUGUGUAGCGGUGAAAUGCAUAGAUAUGACGAAGAACACCGAUUGCGUAGGCAGCUGACCAGACCGCAAAUGACGCUCAUGCACGAAAGUGCGGGGAUCGAACAGGAUUAGAUACCGUGGUAGUCCGCACAGUAAACGAUGAAUACUUGUUUUCGGCGAUAUAAUGUCGGAGGCAAAGCGAAAGCGAUAAGUAUUCCACCUGGGGAGUACGCCGGCAACGGUGAAACUCAAAUGAAUUGGCGGGG